GGCAGUUCCUUCUCCUGGCUUACCAGAGCAGGCAUGUUGUGGGGGAAUGUUGGCACAUUUCCAAUGAAGUGACAAUAAUGCAAGGAAAAAGGAGGGCCCCCAUGUGGCUCAUAAACUCUACUACCAGACCAUCAUUAUAAAGAGUUAGUUUUAUCAGUUGGAGGGGGAGCUCUUGGACAAUCAGUAAAUACCUAAGUAGGUAGUAAGGGGAGUUUGGGCAAUUGAGUUUUUGUAGAGUCUUGAGUCAUUGUGUGGUACCUCAGCUGAUGAUAAGCUGAUAUUUGGAAAAGGAACAACUCUGAGUGUUAGACCAGAUGAUCGUGAGGGCAGCCUCUGAUGGAGCCCCUUUAUGCUGUUUCUUCAACAUCUUUAAGCCCUUGGAAAUGUUAGGCUGGUUUUUGUAGUUGUUGGAGAUGUGUGUCUAACAAAUGGAAUCUGAACUAAAGUUUUAGUGUGUGGGGCAGAAGUCAUUUUGGAAGAAAGGAUAGAUUAGACUAAGGUACCUAGCAAAGCAGGGGUGCAAUGCAGCCUGAUCCAAAAGGAGACAGGGAGAUGCAGCUGAUUGAUGUACAGAACUGAAUGACUGCCCUCCGGUGAGCUAAUUGUCGCCCCAAGACCUCCAUGUUGGUGCAACUAGGAAAAGAACUGCUUAAUUCCCAGUCACUCUCAAAUUCUUGGAGCCACACCCGUUGGAUAAAGCCACAUGAGGUUUUUCUGGUGCUGACAUUGAUAACAAGCUGCUAUUUAGCGAAAGGGUAAGACUGAAAGCAAAUAUUCAAAAUAGUCAGAAAGAUCAUGAACUUGUGAAAAUCUGCCCCAGGAGGCCGUUAACCACUACAUUUCUAAUUGGGAUUUUUUAAAUCCUUGCCUUGGCUGAGCUCUGCAUCAGAGAACCCCCUUCUGAUACCCACUCACUUCUGUGCCCCUUGAUGAAAAGGGGCAACUAAGCUUGAAAGUGUGAGGCAAGGAUUCCCUCACCCAGCGUAAUAACACCCUUUCUCUCCACCUUGCAACACACAGAGGGAGAUUCUGAGGGCUGACCACCACUCUUAAAACAAAUCUGAUUGACUUGAAUGUAGCAGAAAUUUUGCUCCAUGAGGGCAUCUCUCUUUACUACAACAAAUGCUCAUUCCAGACAACUGUUUGGGGUUUAAGUUUUGCUUAUAAUUCAUAAAAGAUACCAACUACCCAAUGGACACCUUGAGGUCAAACUUCUACUUUCAUGGCCAAAUUAGUAUCCACAUUAGAAAGGCUAGAAUCAGGAUGUCCUAGUGAGUAUUAUGUUAGUUCCAGAUGACCUUCCUGAAGUCCCUUGUGCCUAAGACAGCAUGAGAUUAAAAAGUGUUUCCAUGCUGACCUAUGUGCUGAGUUGCUAAUUAGAGUUCAAAAAGCAGGCUGGUCACCUGCUAUGCUUCCAGACUGGGUUGGAUAUUUAGGGUCCUCCAGAUACUAGAAAUGAUAAUCAGAAAAAGCACAUGCUAUUCCUUUUUUAUUUAUAAUUCUCAUCUCUCCCCAAGAACCGUUAUAAAUUUUCUCCCAAAGGUGUUAUAUUCAUCCUUCUUUUGGCUCCUUUAUUUGUGAUGUGUACAGAGAUGAAAUAUUGGUUGAGAUUCAAAAAACAUCUAUGAGAUUUACCUUAAGCUUUGCCUGUCAGAGAGAUUCUAAGAGCUAAAAAGAUGGGAAGCUGACAUUUGGGGAUUAGAUUAAAAAGAAAAUUCAAAUUAAUCCCAAGGAGGAAUUCUCAGUAGAUGGUUAUUUAGAAAUAAGCACGUCAACCCCACAAGCCUAGUUGCUUGGUUGGCUGCACUGCCCCCAUCUUGGGCUUGCCUGGAAGAGUAAUAAUAACUUGUUCACCCCAGACCUGUCUUGGGAAGAGAGAAAUGUCACCCUCUAGCCCUAAAAACUCCUUCGGAAUUGGUUCAUUUCAAUAGCGUUUAUCAUUACACAUGGUGUUCUGGUAGUAAUAGAAAAGUGCAUUAGACGCUUCAGCAAAUGGAAAUGAAAUGUAAAUUUAGAUUGUAAAUAUAGGACUGCAGUAAAUAGAUAGCAAGGAAAAAAGAUGAAGAGAUUAGAAACUUGCCACAUCCCUCUAACCCUAAAGGGAUUGUUUCUAUAAAUAGUUUAAAAAGAUUGAAGAAGAAGGGGGAGGAAGAGGAGGAGAACAGAAGCAAACAGAUUUUCCCCUAAUCCUUUUCACUUUUGCAAAAUUGAAAAUCGUCUUUCAAUCAAUUUCCCCCAGCAGAAGAAAGAAACCAUGCCUGCUUUCACUUACUAAAGGGCGAGUGGGUAGGUGUCUGCUGGAACUGAUUCUGAGGAGGGCUCCCUGUUGGUAAUAAGACUAGCAAUGUCCUGGUUGGGAGGGGAAGGGAUUAAGUCCAGAAAUAAGUCCAAAUAGGUGUGCAGGAAAAAGAAGGGCUCGGAGGGCAGGAUUUCCCCUGGAUUUUCUGCCUUGACUUCUAAUCUUUUCUGUCUUGGCUGACAGAUUAGGUCCCAGACGAGCAGGCCCUAAGAUUCAAACUAGAACUUUCAAGGAGGGGAACUAGCUUAGCUUCACUCAGCAGACCUUGCGUAUUCUGACUUUAAAAGAUUCUUUUAAUUCGGCUGUUUUUAGGGAGAGCUCUGUAAAGGCUAAAGGGUAUUUAAAAAAAAAGAGAGAGAAGUUCCCAUUGUGGCACAGUGGUUAAAGAAUCUGACUAGGAACCAUGAGGUUGCAGGUUCUUUCCCUGGCCUGGCUCAGUAGGUUAAGGAUCCGGUGUUGCCGUGAGCUGUGGUGUAGGUCACAGACACGGCUCAGAUCCUGUGUUGCUGUGGCUGUGGUGUAGGCCGGCAGCUGUAACUCUAAUUAGACCCCUAGCCUGGGAACACACAUAUGCUGCAGGUGUAGCCCUAAAAAG
rnacentral:lncRNA from 1 species